rnacentral:tRNA from 1 species
CGGAGCGUGGCGCAGCCUGGUAGCGCACUUGCUUCGGGAGCAAGGGGUCGGAGGUUCGAAUCCUCUCGCUCCGACCA